rnacentral:rRNA from 1 species
UACGAAGGGGGCUAGCGUUGCUCGGAAUCACUGGGCGUAAAGCGCACGUAGGCGGCUUUCUAAGUCAGGGGUGAAAUCCUGGAGCUCAACUCCAGAACUGCCUUUGAUACUGGAGAGCUCGAGUCCGGAAGAGGUGAGUGGAACUGCGAGUGUAGAGGUGAAAUUCGUAGAUAUUCGCAAGAACACCAGUGGCGAAGGCGGCUCACUGGCCGGUACUGACGCUGAGGUGCGAAAGCGUGGGGAGCAAACAGGAUUAAGAU